UACGGAGGGGGCAAGCGUUGCCCGGAAUGACUGGGCGUAAAGGGCGCGUAGGCGGACUGCACAGUCACAUGUCAAAUCCCUGGGCUUAACGUGGUGACUGCGUGGGAGACGGGCGAACUAGAGUGAAGCAGAGGGAGGAGGAAUUCCCGGUGUAGAGGUGAAAUGCGUAGAUAUUGGAAAGAACACCGGUGGCGAAGGCGUUCAGCUGGGCUGUGACUGACGCUGAGGCGCGAAAGCGUGGGGAGCGAAAGGG
rnacentral:rRNA from 1 species